UUUUAAUAGAACACUGGAUAUCUUAAGAUUACGUGACAACUCUGUUCCCACAUUAUUUUUGACACCCAAAGAAGGCCCCCAAGAGUCGUUGGUUUUACAUGAUAUUACUAACAUCAGAAAGCAUAAUGAUACUGCCACAUCAACUGAUGUGUUCCCAUUAUCCUAUGAAAAUAUAAAACCAAAGCAUAAGGAGUUUGUUUCAGACGAAAGAAGAAGGAAGAAGCAGA
rnacentral:lncRNA from 1 species